CUCAGGAUGAACGCUAGCUACAGGCUUAACACAUGCAAGUCGAGGGGCAGCAUGGUCUUAGCUUGCUAAGGCCGAUGGCGACCGGCGCACGGGUGAGUAACACGUAUCCAACCUGCCGUCUACUCUUGGACAGCCUUCUGAAAGGAAGAUUAAUACAAGAUGGCAUCAUGAGUCCGCAUGUUCACAUGAUUAAAGGUAUUCCGGUAGACGAUGGGAUGCGUUCCAUUAGAUAGUAGGCGGGGUAACGGCCCACCUAGUCUUCGAUGGAUAGGGGUUCUGAGAGGAAGGUCCCCCACAUUGGAACUGAGACACGGUCCAAACUCCUACGGGAGGCAGCAGUGAGGAAUAUUGGUCAAUGGGCGAGAGCCUGAACCAGCCAAGUAGCGUGAAGGAUGACUGCCCUAUGGGUUGUAAACUUCUUUUAUAAAGGAAUAAAGUCGGGUAUGGAUACCCGUUUGCAUGUACUUUAUGAAUAAGGAUCGGCUAACUCCGUGCCAGCAGCCGCGGUAAUACGGAGGAUCCGAGCGUUAUCCGGAUUUAUUGGGUUUAAAGGGAGCGUAGAUGGAUGUUUAAGUCAGUUGUGAAAGUUUGCGGCUCAACCGUAAAAUUGCAGUUGAUACUGGAUAUCUUGAGUGCAGUUGAGGCAGGCGGAAUUCGUGGUGUAGCGGUGAAAUGCUUAGAUAUCACGAAGAACUCCGAUUGCGAAGGCAGCCUGCUAAGCUGCAACUGACAUUGAGGCUCGAAAGUGUGGGUAUCAAACAGGAUUAGAUACCCUGGUAGUCCACACGGUAAACGAUGAAUACUCGCUGUUUGCGAUAUACUGCAAGCGGCCAAGCGAAAGCGUUAAGUAUUCCACCUGGGGAGUACGCCGGCAACGGUGAAACUCAAAGGAAUUGACGGGGGCCCGCACAAGCGGAGGAACAUGUGGUUUAAUUCGAUGAUACGCGAGGAACCUUACCCGGGCUUAAAUUGCAGAUGAAUUACGGUGAAAGCCGUAAGCCGCAAGGCAUCUGUGAAGGUGCUGCAUGGUUGUCGUCAGCUCGUGCCGUGAGGUGUCGGCUUAAGUGCCAUAACGAGCGCAACCCUUGUUGUCAGUUACUAACAGGUUCCGCUGAGGACUCUGACAAGACUGCCAUCGUAAGAUGUGAGGAAGGUGGGGAUGACGUCAAAUCAGCACGGCCCUUACGUCCGGGGCUACACACGUGUUACAAUGGGGGGUACAGAGGGCCGCUACCACGCGAGUGGAUGCCAAUCCCCAAAACCUCUCUCAGUUCGGACUGGAGUCUGCAACCCGACUCCACGAAGCUGGAUUCGCUAGUAAUCGCGCAUCAGCCACGGCGCGGUGAAUACGUUCCCGGGCCUUGUACACACCGCCCGUCAAGCCAUGGGAGCCGGGGGUACCUGAAGUGCGUAACCGCGAGGAGCGCCCUAGGGUA
rnacentral:rRNA from 1 species